rnacentral:rRNA from 1 species
CAGCCGCCGCGGGAAUACGUAGGUGGCAAGCGUUGUCCGGAAUUAUUGGGCGUAAAGCGCGCGCAGGCGGUUCCUUAAGUCUGAUGUGAAAGCCCCCGGCUCAACCGGGGAGGGUCAUUGGAAACUGGGAAACUUGAGUGCAGAAGAGGAGAGUGGAAUUCCACGUGUAGCGGUGAAAUGCGUAGAGAUGUGGAGGAACACCAGUGGCGAAGGCGACUCUCUGGUCUGUAACUGACGCUGAGGAGCGAAAGCGUGGGGAGCGAACAGGAUUAGAUACCCGGGUAGUCCCUGUCUCUUAUAC